CUGGCCACCUCUCCCUCACGUUCGUCACUUUAAACGGUUCGCCCAGCCUCUCUAACCUGAUCUCCGUCCAUCGUUUUUUUUUUUUGUUUUUUUUUUUCUUUUUUCAGCACCAUAGUUGAACUCCCUGAGUUCAUGUGGCUACCUAACUCGGCCAGUCAUUCCUUUCUUUGUUCCCCUGAGAAUGUAUUAGAGAAGUGCCGAGUUCAUAUUCAUCACAGGGUAUUUCUUGUUCCAGCGGAGGCGCACAUACCAGUUAGGAUGUGUGUAGCAGUGAAAGGCCAAUAUUGAGAGGGACAAAGUGGCCAGAAAAGUCAGUUUACCACGUGUGUAACUGGGACCAAGGAGUGGAAGAAGCCUGUAAUAUUCUGCAACAAAUUCCCCCCCCCCCCACUUCAGACACCUGCUUAAAAUUCGAACAUAACUUUCUCGUCACACCUGGCCUUCCACUCAGCACUCCUUGUCCCCGCAGAAUGGAGCUGGUAUUUCAUAAUGGAUUAGAGGAAGUGUUUUCAUCAGUCAGGCUUUUGUAUUCUCUCCUAAGCAUGUCCCUGUGAGAAAUUCUCUUCCCGCAGUACUGCGUCGCUUGAAUCCUAAAGGCAUCCUCAUUUCUGGCCCUCCAGGCUUUUGCACUUCGUUUGCCCUGAUGUGUUAUAGUAAGCUGUUGGUUUCCAUGGCCUUGCCGCUAGAAUAAGCUUUUGGAAACUGGAAACUGUGUCUCAGGACCUUUAUGAAUCUAGUUUUCCAAGGUAAGAAGACACUGCGUUUGCUCCUGUUUUUUUGCAGGAGGGAAAAAUGAGACCCAGAAGGUGAUUUGGCCAGACUCUGGCUUGAGAGGCCUUUCUCAUGCAAGGGAUUUUCCUUAGUAUAAAACUUGCAGUACACUUAUGUUACAUACUGCUGACGGGCUGAGACCUCUCAGAGAUCUGCCUGCCUCUGCUUCCCAGUGCUGGCCUGAAAGGCAUGUGCCACCAUGCUCACCCCCCAAGUAGAUUGAAGUGUGGCCCUGGUGGGAGUUAGGCGAUUCUUUAUUUCCAGGAGAUGUUUUCUGUAGAAUGCUGGGGGUGGAGAGAAGCCCUUUUCUUCUCAGGUGGCUAGAAAGGCCUGUGUUGUCAUGCUCUCGAUCCAGAAUUUCCAGACUGUCUUGUCAGUUUGUCCUGUGAUGACUCAGCCGCAGUAGCAGGUGUAUGUGUUGGGAAUUAUGUGAGGCUGUUUGGAGGAGAUGCAAGAGCAAAUACUUGGACUGUGGUGGGAAUGACCGUGUUCCCGGGAGAUUUUAAACCUUACUUGGCUGCAAGCUUGUAUGUAUCAGAUAGCUGAAGCAGUUUGUUUUAGAGGGGUUAGCUUACAGCCAGCUCACAUUUUAAUAUUUUCAGGGGUUGGGAAGAGAGGCAUUGAAAAGAGCUGAAAUAUGAGAACUGUCAUCCUUGAUUUGUGGUCACACUUGACUUGCUCAGUUAAGGGUUGGGAAGGAAAAGUUGUAAUCUCAGCGUUCAGAGGCUUGUGGAUCACUGAGUUCGAGGGCAAGUUCCAGGACAGCCAGAAAAAUCCUGUCUCUGGAAACCAGGAGAAAACACAUACACACAGAGACUGGGAAGGGUCAGGGUAUGUUGUAAAAUAAUCAAGCCUGAGUUUCUCAUGAAAUCAUUACUUUGUUAGGUUAGACCAUUUGUAAGGUCUGAGAAACAUGAUUAAAAAAAAAUUGGGGCUGGGAGCAAUUAUACAUGACUCUAAGGGAAACUGAUCCCACACAGCAGAAUCCCAGACUUCGAACCAGCACAGGCUGUGUUAACCCCCCCCCCCCCAAAAAAAAAAAUUAAGGCUGGGGACUGGACGUGUGAUUGAGUGGUAGAGUGAGGAUGUUUGCCAAAAGGCAUUGGUGGUCUUGUUAGGGACUGGUUCAGGGAGCUAUGGGUGUUGGGAAUAGUAAAUUGUGAAAUUACCUUGGAGUUCCUGAAUAAUGGUUGGACCAUGGAUGUCUUUGAUAGACUUGGUUUGGAAAAGGUCUUUGGCUUUAAAUGUAGCCCAUGUAGCUGAUAGGGGAGGACUCUCUCUGAAGGAUUGGGCUUAGCACAGGAGGAGUGAACUUAAGUAAGUGCUGUGUUUAAGUGUAGGCUUGCGAAGUAAUCCUUGGGGUGUGUAGGGACAGACUGUUUCAGAUGGCGCUGGUGCCAGAGUCAUUACAGGUCCAGAAUUGCCCUAAUCAGGAACUUUGAUGAGUCCACUUGGGUAGUGUGCUUUGGACAGUUGAUACUAUGUCUAACAAAGCUUGAAUUCUAGAUGCAUGCUGCCUUUUGCUAUCACCUAUGUAGGUUGAUCUUCUAGAACUCUGUUGGUGACACUGGGCAUAGUAGUACAUGUCUUUACUCUCAUAACUUGGGAGACAGGCAGGGAGAUAUCUGUGAGUUUCAGGCCUAUUUGGUCUAUCCAUAGUGAAUUUUAGGACAUCUGAGGCUACAUAGACCCUGUCUUUUUUUUUUUUUUUUUUUUUU